GAUAAACGCUGGCGGCAUGCCUGACACAUGCAAGUCGAACGAGACCUUCAGGUCUAGUGGCGCACGGGUGCGUAACGCGUGGGAACCUGCCUUUAGGUUCGGAAUAACUCAGAGAAAUUUGAGCUAAUACCGGAUAAUGUCUUCGGACCAAAGAUUUAUCGCCUUUAGAUGGGCCCGCGUUGGAUUAGCUAGUUGGUGGGGUAAAGGCCUACCAAGGCGACGAUCCAUAGCUGGUCCGAGAGGAUGAUCAGCCACACUGGGACUGAGACACGGCCCAGACUCCUACGGGAGGCAGCAGUGGGGAAUAUUGGACAAUGGGCGAAAGCCUGAUCCAGCAAUGCCGCGUGAGUGAUGAAGGCCUUAGGGUUGUAAAGCUCUUUUACCCGAGAUGAGAAUGACAGUAUCGGGAGAAUAAGCUCCGGCUAACUCCGUGCCAGCCGCCGCUGUAA
rnacentral:rRNA from 1 species